CUCUUGCUCCUAAUUCGACUGAGGCUCCACACUCAACCCAAAAAGAUCUCAAGAAUUGCUGCAGCGGACUUGGGGACUGGACAAAGAUCACAAAGAUAACUACCAACUUUGCUUCGUUCCUGUUCGGAGGAGAAUUCGCCACACCAAGACAAGAUUCUGCCCAAGGACAUUAACACUUCUGUUGCUGAGAUCCCCUGUCAUCUGGGUAUGAGUUGCCUGCACCCCAAAAAGCCUUUUUAAUACCUUUAUAUCAAGAUGUUUUGGUUUAGACAUUUGCUCCUGCACCUCUGGUUUUUGGGAUGUCUUUACUUGGCAAUACAAGCUUGGCGCGUUGACAUGCCAAGAAAUAUCAAAGCACUGUUGAAUUCCUGCCUCGUUAUCCCUUGUAGCUUUGACUACAAUUCGUAUCCACCUACAAGAGCAGACAGAGUUGUUUGGUACCAGUAUGUGAGCAGGGGAUAUCCUUUGGUUUCUGACAGUUGGUACCCUAAUGAAGUAAUUAGCAUGUAUAGAGGAAGAACCUAUGUAUACACUUCCAAAUAUGAAAAA